rnacentral:rRNA from 1 species
GACGAACGCUGGCGGCGUGCUUAACACAUGCAAGUCGAACGGACAGGCCCUGCUUUUGUGGGGUGCUCGUUUGGCGAACGGGUGAGUAACACGCGAGUAUCCUGCCCUUGACUUUCUGAUAUCUUCUGGGAACUGCGGCUCAUACCCCGUAUGAUCUCCUGCUGCAUAUUGGGGGUUGGAAAGUUUCGGCGUUUGGGGCUGGACUCGCGGCUUAUCCGCUUGUUGGUGGGGUAGUUGCUUACCAAGGCUUUGACGGGUAGCCUGCCUAAGAGGGUGACCGGCGACAUGGGGACUGAGAGACGGCCCAGAAUGCUACGGGAGGCAGCAGGGGGGAAUAUUGCACAAUGAGCGGAAGCCAGAUGCAGCAACGUCGCGUGCGGGAUGACGGCCUUCGAGGGGUAAACAGCUUUCGACGGUGACGAAGAGUGAGUGACGGUAAUGGGUAAAGAAGCACCGGCUAACUACGUG